rnacentral:rRNA from 1 species
GACGAACGCUGGCGGCGUGCCUAAUACAUGCAAGUAGAACGCUGAAGGCGGAGCUUGCUUCUCUGGAUGAGUUGCGAACGGGUGAGUAACGCGUAGGUAACCUGCCUGUUAGUGGGGGAUAACUAUUGGAAACGAUAGCUAAUACCGCAUAAUAGCAGUUGUUGCAUGAUAACUGUUUGAAAGGUUCAUUUGCUCCGCUACCAGAUGGUCCUGCGUUGUAUUAGCUAGUUGGUGGGGUAACGGCUCACCAAGGCGACGAUACAUAGCCGACCUGGGAGGGGGAUCGGCCAAACUGGGAAGGAGACACGGCACAGAAGGCUACGGGAGGCAGCAGUAGGGAAACGGCGGCAAUGGACGGAAGACAGACCGAGAAACGCCGCGGGAGUGAAGAAGGUUGUCGGAUCGUAAAGCACUGUUGUAAGAGAAGAAAGAGAGUGAGAGUGGAAAGUUCACAGUGUGACGGUAACUUACAAGAAAGGGACGGCUAACUACGUG